rnacentral:lncRNA from 1 species
UAAAUAAAUGUAGAAAUCUAAAUACAGCUCUGUUAAAAAACAAUUAUUAUUGCUAAAUACAUUACAUUUUCAUUAAGCGUAUAAAAUUGUAAUUCACAGUUUAAGCCGACAAGUACCCAUACGACGUUGACGUACACAAUAUACUUAGAAAAACAUGAAGUUAAAUUAUUUCCUUUUUAUUGUGAUUCUGGCUAUUUCCUUUUCUGAUGUUAUGGGAACGUAUAUGGAAGCAAGAUGUCUCCUAACAAUGGACCAAGGACAUUGCGUCGAUCUCAUACAAAUGUAUGCUUACAACAGGAAUACUGAUAAAUGCGAAAGAUUUCUCUACGGAGGGUGUGGGGGA